UUGAAACAUCUCAUAAAUUGGCUUAUUGUGGAUUUUUGUUUUUAUUUAUAUUGUUGUUUGUUGGACCCUUCACGUUUCUUGUGCAAGAACAGAAGAAAUACCACAGGAGUGAUAGGGUUCAGUACCGCUGCAAAUAGAUAUAUUUGCUACUAAUGCUGCAGCAUGGCGGAAAGGAUGGCUAAAGUUAAAAAUCACUGGAAUGACGGAAAGUGGGAAAACUAAAAUUUGGAAAUAACGGCCAUUGCCAAUAGCUGGCCUCUUUCAAUAUCAGGCGUCCAUGUGCUAAAGACGUGUUUUAAGUGCAGUGUUAUAGAGUGAGCAACACCCCCCCCCCCUUUAAUCCCUUAACAGGAGCUAAGUGGAUGCUUGGGAAGAAAUCGCUCAGGACCUCUUGCUCUUGUUCUUGUUCUGUCAUUGUUUCCGUCCAGCACACGGUUCGGCCCGUGAAGCCAUCAGGCUUCCGAGCCUAAAUGUUAAGGAUCUGUCCUCUACAAAGGACCAAUAUAUCGGGCCGUUGGCCCUAAACGUCAAGGAGAUUCCCCUCUCGGCUUUCCAAGGUGGCUAUGCCACGGCCGGCCGAUUAUCGUCCAUGAGGGAAGACGCCUGCAACCCCACCGUCCAGCAACGCCCGCUGGCCCGUCAACGGAGUUAAAAAUCAGCCCGUACAACCGCCCGCUUCACCAUUCCGGCGAGAGUUCCGGCCGCACAGCAGGAUUCGUCCACCCAACAACAAACGGCAGCGGCAUGUACCGGUACGAACAUUAGAUUAGGACACACAUAACAAAUAUACACUAAAUUGAAAACCCCAGAACAACACGCCACAAUUAGGAAAUUUAAUAAAUGCACAAGUAAAGUGAAA